UACGUAGGUGACUAGCGUUGUCCGGAAUUAUUGGGCGUAAAGAGCUUGUAGGCGGUCUGUCGCGUCUGCUGUGAAAAUCCGGGGCUCAACCCCGGACUUGCAGUGGGUACGGGCAGACUAGAGUGUGGUAGGGGAGACUGGAAUUCCUGGUGUAGCGGUGAAAUGCGCAGAUAUCAGGAGGGAACACCGAUGGCGAAGGCAGGUC
rnacentral:rRNA from 1 species